rnacentral:rRNA from 1 species
AGAAAAUAGAUACCCGGGUAGUCCACGCCCUAAACGAUGUCGACUGGUUGUUGGUGGGGUUAAACCCAUUAGUAACGAAAGCUAAACGCGUGAAAGUCGACCGCCUGGGGAGUACGGCCGCAAGGUUAAAACUCAAAGGAAUUGACGGGGACCCGCACAAGCGGUGGAUGAUGUGGAUUAAUUCGAUGCAAACGCGAAGAACCUUACCUACCCUUGACAUGCCAGGAACCCUGCUGAGAGGUGGGGUGCCCGAAACGGGAACCUGGACACAGGUGCUGCAUGGCUGUCGUCAGCUCGUGUCGUGAGAUGUUGGGUUAAGUCCCGCAACGAGCGCAACCCUUGUCACUAGUUGCUACGGUAACGGGCACUCUAGUGAGACUGCCGGUGACAAACCGGAGGAAGGUGGGGAUGACGUCAAGUCCUCAUGGCCCUUAUGGGUAGGGCGUUCACACGUCAUACAAUGGCGCAUACAGAGGGCUGCCAACCCGCGAGGGGGAGCCAAUCCCAGAAAGUGCGUCGUAGUCCGGAUUGCAGUCUGCAACUCGACUGC